rnacentral:rRNA from 1 species
CACAUCGGGGACAAGUAGCGGCGUUAAUCAGGGGGGGGGGAGCUGUAAUAGGAAUGCGUUGGCGUAAGGGGACCGUAGGUUGCGUGGGAAUGCGGAUGUGAAAGCCCCGGGCGCAACCUGGGAACGGCAGUCGAUACGGCGGAGCGAUAGUACGAAAGAGGGGGGUGGAAUUCCAGGUGUAGCGGUGAAAUGCGUAGAGAUCUGGAGGAACACCGGUGGCGAAGGCGGCCCCCUGGUUCGAUACUGACGCUGAGGUGCGAAAGCGUGGGGAGCAAACAGGAUUAGAUACCCGUGUAGUC